rnacentral:rRNA from 1 species
AUUGAACGCUGGCGGCAGGCCUAACACAUGCAAGUCGAGCGGAGCGGCGGACGGGUGAGUAAUGCCUAGGAAUCUGCCUGGUAGUGGGGGAUAACGUCCGGAAACGGGCGCUAAUACCGCAUACUAUCAGAUGAGCCUAGGUCGGAUUAGCUAGUUGGUGGGGUAAAGGCCUACCAAGGCGACGAUCCGUAACUGGUCUGAGAGGAUGAUCAGUCAAACUGGGACUGAGACACGGCCCAGGCUCCUACGGGAGGUAGCAGUGGGGAAGAUUGGACCAUGGGCGAAAGCCUGAUCCAGCCAUUCCGCGUGGUUGAAGAAGGGUUUUGGAUUGUAAAGCACUUUUAGUUGGGAAGCGGUAACAACAGAAUAAGCACCGGCUAACUUCGUGCCAGGCGCCGCGGUAAUUC